UGGGGAAUUUUGCACAAUGGGGGAAACCCUGAUGCAGCGACGCCGCGUGAUUUAGAAGGCCUUCGGGUUGUAAAAAUCUUUUGUAUGGGAAGAAAAUGACAGUACCAUACGAAUAAGGACCGGCUAAUUACGUGCCAGCAGCCGCGGUAAUACGUAAGGUCCGAGCGUUGUCCGGAAUCAUUGGGCGUAAAGGGUACGUAGGCGGAUAAGCAAGUUAGAAGUGAAAUCCUAUAGCUCAACUAUAGUAAGCUUUUAAAACUGCUCAUCUUGAGGUAUGGAAGGGAAAGUGGAAUUCCUAGUGUAGCGGUGAAAUGCGCAGAUAUUAGGAGGAAUACCGGUGGCGAAGGCGACUUUCUGGCCAUAUACUAACGCUGAGGUACGAAAGCGUGGGUAGCAAACAGG
rnacentral:rRNA from 1 species